GUUGGCUAGCAGUUAUGUGAUUCUUCUGCAUGACGAAGUCUGACGGAGCACGCCGCGUGAGUGAUGAGUUUUCGAUCGUAAGCUCUGUUGUUAGGAGAACAAGUGCCGUUCAAAUAGGGCGGCACUUGACGGUACUAACCAGAAAGCCACGGCUAACUACGUGCCCAGCAGCCGCGGUAAUACGUAGGUGGCAAGCGUUGUCCGGGAAUUAUUGGGCGUAAAGGGCUCGCAGGCGGUUUCUUAAGUCUGAUGUGAAAGCCCCCGGCUCAACCGGGGAGGGUCAUUGGAAACUGGGGAACUUGAGUGCAGAAGAGGAGAGUGGAAUUCCACGUGUAGCGGUGAAAUGCGUAGAGAUGUGGAGGAACACCAGUGGCGAAGGCGACUCUCUGGUCUGUAACUGACGCUGAGGAGCGAAAGCGUGGGGAGCGAACAGGAUUAGAUACCCUGGUAGUCCACGCCGUAAACGAUGAGUGCUAAGUGUUAGGGGGUUUCCGCCCCUUAGUGCUGCAGCUAACGCAUUAAGCACUCCGCCUGGGGAGUACGGUCGCAAGACUGAAACUCAAAGGAAUUGACGGGGGCCCGCACAAGCGGUGGAGCAUGUGGUUUAAUUCGAAGCAACGCGAAGAACCUUACCAGGUCUUGACAUCCUCUGACAAUCCUAGAGAUAGGACGUCCCCUUCGGGGGCAGAGUGACAGGUGGUGCAUGGUUGUCGUCAGCUCGUGUCGUGAGAUGUUGGGUUAAGUCCCGCAACGAGCGCAACCCUUGAUCUUAGUUGCCAGCAUUCAGUUGGGCACUCUAAGGUGACUGCCGGUGACAAACCGGAGGAAGGUGGGGAUGACGUCAAAUCAUCAUGCCCCUUAUGACCUGGGCUACACACGUGCUACAAUGGACAGAACAAAGGGCAGCGAAACCGCGAGGUUAAGCCAAUCCCACAAAUCUGUUCUCAGUUCGGAUCGCAGUCUGCAACUCGACUGCGUGAAGCUGGAAUCGCUAGUAAUCGCGGAUCAGCAUGCCGCGAUCGAC
rnacentral:rRNA from 1 species